ensembl:lncRNA
AGGAAGGAAAAUGGGGGUGGAAGAAAACGUAAAGCCUGCUUGGACUUGGAGCAGGAGAGAGGCUGAAGUCGCCUUGCUGCUCACCUGGAGCCUGGUUUGGAGACGCUGCCCUAUGUGGUCUGGCCACCGUGGCUUUGGUCCCAGUUUGUGCAGUGAACUGGGCCCAGUCUGGGGGAAGCAGAAUGAUAUGUGUGCUCCUGUCCGCUCCGAAGGACUCAGAAUACAAGGAGGAGACAAGGGCAGGAGAGCUGCAUGGAGAACCAGGAGCGGAUACAGCACCAGUGAGGAGGAGAUGGAGAGACACCCACCAGUGUCGCUGCCCUGCGCUGAUCUCCAUCCACGUGGAAGCCCCGUGCAGAGCAGAGCUGAGCAGCGCUCCGUGCCCCACAUGCAGUGCAGCUCUUGCUGUGUGACCUGUGGAUAGCGCAGGCCAUGCCGGAGGGCGGCUGUUGGGUCCGUGUUCAUCUUGUACGAGUUCAGCAG